rnacentral:misc_RNA from 1 species
GUUGAAGAACGUAGCGAAAUGCGAUAAGUAGUGUGAAUUGCAGAAUUCAGUGAAUCAUCGAAUCUUUGAACGCACAUUGCGCCUCCUGGUAUUCCGGGAGGCAUGCCUGUUCGAGCGUCAUUAAAAUCACUCAAGCUUAGGUUUACCUAUUGCUUGGUCUUGGAGAUGGAAGCCAAUUUAUUGGAAUCCUCUUCGAAAUUCAAUGGCGAAGACCCUUGCUCUCCCAAGUGUAGUAAUAACUUAUGUCACUGAAGGAAGCGAGAAAUCUUCUGCCGUAACCCCCAUAUUUUCUAUGAUUGACCUCGGAUCAGGUAGGGAUACCCGCUGAACUUAAGCAUAUCAAUAAGCGGAGGA